GCCGGUGUGGCGGAAUGGCAUACGCUAAUGACUCAAAAUCAUUUGAGCUUUACGCUCGUGUGGGUUCGACUCCCACCACCGGCACCA
rnacentral:tRNA from 1 species